GACGAACGCUGGCGGCGUGCCUAAUACAUGCAAGUCGAACGCAGUGGGGACGGGUGAGUAACACGUGGGUAACCUCCCAUCAGAGGGGAUAACACUUGGAAACAGGUGCUAAACCGAUACUGAUGGAUGAACCCGCGGUGCAUUGGCUAGUUGGUGAGGUAACGGCUCACCAAGGCCACGAUGCAUAGCCCACCGGGGAGAGUGGUCGGCCACAGUGGUACUGAGACGUGGCCCAGACUCCUACGGUAGGGACCAGUAGGGAAUCUUCGGCAAUGGACGAAAGUCUGACCUAGCAACGCCGCGUGAGUGAAGAAGGUUUUCGGAGCGUAAAACUCUGUUGUUAGAGAAGCGGUAUCUAACCAGAAAGCCACGGCUAACUACGUGCCAGCCGCCGCGGUAAUUC
rnacentral:rRNA from 1 species